GACGAACGCUGGCGGCGUGCCUAAUACAUGCAAGUAGAACGCACAGUUUAUACCGUAGCUUGCUACACCAUAGACUGUGAGUUGCGAACGGGUGAGUAACGCGUAGGUAACCUGCCUGGUAGCGGGGGAUAACUAUUGGAAACGAUAGCUAAUACCGCAUAAUAUUGAUUAUUGCAUGAUAAUUGAUUGAAAGAUGCUAUUGCAUCACUACCAGAUGGACCUGCGUUGUAUUUGCUAGUAGGUGAGGUAACGGCUCACCUAGGCGACGAUACAUAGCCGACCUGAGAGGGUGAGCGGCCACACUGGGACUGAGACACGGCCCAGACGCCUACGGGAGGCAGCAGUAGGGAAUCUUCGGCAAUGGACGAAAGGCUGACCGAGCAACGCCGCGUGAGUGAAGAAGGGUUUCGGAUCGUAAAGCUCUGUUGUAAGAGAAGAACGGGUGUGAGAGUGGAAAGUUCACACUGUGACGGUAUCUUACCAGAAAGGGACGGCUAACUACGUG
rnacentral:rRNA from 1 species